rfam:Schistosoma margrebowiei strain Zambia genome assembly, scaffold: SMRZ_scaffold0000752
AUCCAUCUGACGUGUCUCAAAUAAGACGAAAUGCGUGUCCUGAAU